GAUGAACGCUGGCGGCGUGCUUAACACAUGCAAGUCGAACGAUGAAAGCGGGAGCUUGCUCCUGCUGGAUUAGUGGCGAACGGGUGAGUAACACGUGAGUAACCUGCCCUUGACUCUGGGAUAAGCGUUGGAAACGACGUCUAAUACCGGAUACGACCUUCGGAGGCAUCUCCUGGGGUGGAAAGAAUUCGGUCAAGGAUGGACUCGCGGCCUAUCAGCUAGUUGGUGAGGUAAUGGCUCACCAAGGCGACGACGGGUAGCCGGCCUGAGAGGGUGACCGGCCACACUGGGACUGAGACACGGCCCAGACUCCUACGGGAGGCAGCAGUGGGGAAUAUUGCACAAUGGGCGCAAGCCUGAUGCAGCAACGCCGCGUGAGGGACGACGGCCUCGGGUUGUAAACGUCUUUAGUUAGGGAAGAAGACGAAAGUAGA
rnacentral:rRNA from 1 species